UACGUAGGGGGCAAGCGUUGUCCGGAUUUACUGGGCGUAAAGAGCUCGUAGGCGGCUUAGUAAGUCGGGUGUGAAAACUCUAGGCUCAACCUAGAGACGCCACCCGAUACUGCUAUAGCUAGAAUCCAGUAGGGGAGUGUGGAAUUCCCAGUGUAGCGGUGAAAUGCGCAGAUAUUGGGAGGAACACCAGCGGCGAAGGCGGCACUCUGGGCUGGUAUUGACGCUGAGGAGCGAAAGCGUGGGUAGCGAACAGG
rnacentral:rRNA from 1 species